GCGGCUUCACCCGCUGUGGGGGUGCAGCAUUCAAGCUAGCUAGAUUUGGGGAUUGACUUGUAAUUGCCACGCAGAUACGCCUUUUCUUUCCAGAGGAAAGUGUACGGGACUGAGAUGGCCAGAUUUCUAGUGUCUGCUCUGCCAGAGUUCAAGGAAAUGAUGGGGGGUAACGCAUGACUACAGAAUCAAAACUGUUUUGCUGGAGGGCUUCUCUACUGAUACCAUGUAACCAUGCGGCUCAGUUGGAGAAGUUUGUCGACAUUACGAGAUCAAAAGGGAAUUCAGCCAUAACUUUCACUUUUCUUAGCCAUUUACUCUUAGUAAUGUUUUUAAAUUUUUAAUUUACCAAUGUUUUUAAAAGAAAGAAAUGAACGGUUUAAAUUUUCCCUGUUAAAUGUUGGUGAAAGUAUUACAGCUCUCAUUGACGUCAGUGACAUGAUAUUACCAGUUUGUUCUCUGCCACAUCUUACAGAGGAGUAAACUGGUAAGUAUAUAUUAUAUAUAUUUAUAUAUAAUGUAAAUAUAUUGACUUGUUACAGCUAUAAUAUGUUGAAAUUGGUUUUUAAAAGGUGAUGUAAAUAGUGGUUUCCUUAAUGAAAAAUACAUAUUUUGUAUUGUUCUAAUGCAAAGGAAAAAAAACCUUUUAAUCUUUUUUUGUUAUGUAUAUUCCAUGUAUAAGUGUAAAUAUGAUCACAUAGGUUUAAAAACUUUUGCAUGUAUGUAUACAGUUGCAAGUCUGGAAGAAUGUAUAGAAAAAUACUUUUAUUUAAAGUUGUGAUUACCUGCUGCAUGAAAAGUGCAUGGGGGACCCUGUGCAUCUGUGCGUUGGCAAAAAAAUAAAAUGUCUUAACAAGUCAGGUCAGUUCAAAACACAACAGUAUUCCACUUCUGGACAUGACUUCUGCUGUGGUAUUUUAGCUUUGUGAAAGAAUGUGCUUCAAAUCAAAAGGGUCUGGGGGGAAAAAAAAAAACAAACAAACGCAAAACUACUUUUAAAACAUGAAGUACUCACACAACUAUAAUCAGUCAUGUAAGUUCAGGACUCCAUUUUGCGUAACUGAAAUAUUGUACCAGGACUAUUCCAUCCCUGUAAAACAAAGGAAUAUUGAUUUUCAUUGCCAUACAUAAGAAUUCGGGAUUUUACCACAACCAGUUUUAUUGUGAUGUGUCUUCAGUAAUUUAUCUAACUGGUCUCAUUUUUUUAUUAGAAAUUAAUUUCUUCAUGUGAUGUCACAAAACUGUACAUACUGCAGUGUGAAGUUUUUUUAAAUCUUUCAGUGUUUACUUCCUGCAGAAGAUUUGAAUAAAUGAGAAAAAUGCAUUGUC